GACGUAGGAUGCGAGCGUUGUUCGGAUUUACUGGGCGUAAAGGGCGCGUAGGCGGUCAGCACAAGUCAGUUGUGAAAUCUCCGGGCUUAACUCGGAAAGGUCAACUGAUACUGUGCGACUAGAGUGCAGAAGGGGCAACUGGAAUUCUCGGUGUAGCGGUGAAAUGCGUAGAUAUCGAGAGGAACACCUGCGGCGAAGGCGGGUUGCUGGGCUGACACUGACGCUGAUGCGCGAAAGCCAGGGGAGCGAACGGG
rnacentral:rRNA from 1 species